GCGGAAUAUUUCUUGAUAUAAAUCAAGGACGGAAUGCAUUUUUUAUUCUACCAUUUGUCACUUGUCAUUUUUACAAAAAAGUAAAACUAAAUUUUCGUAUCCAAAAAUCCAGUUUUUUUUUCAUCACAUUAAGCAGAAAGAAAUAGAACAUAUAAAAAUGGAACCGGCAAGGAGUUUUCAUCAAAAAGAGGGUAUCAAUGUUAUUGCACUGAGAGAAGUGAGACGAUUCAUUCGCGACUGCUUGGUUGCGGUACAAACGCCAAAAGAACAGGCCCAUUUGGUGGCUGAUAUUCUGACCGAAGCGGACUACCGCGGACACAGUAACGAAGGGAUGAACAAAUUGGAGCAAUUCAUAAAUGACAUCAAAAGUGGUUAUUACGAUUUAAAGGCGAAACCGAAACUCCUCAAAGAAUCUCCUGCCGUGGCCUGGGUGGAUGGGUGCAACAGUCUGGGACCGGUAGUUGCAGAAUUCUGUAUGAGGCUGUCCAUAGCUAAAGCCAAAACGAUGGGAGUUGGUUGGGUGGUAUGCAAAAGAUCGAAUGAUUUCGGACUGGCCGAAAUUUAUUCGAGUUUGGCCGCCAAAGAAGGUCUUCUAGGAUUUUGUUGUACAAACGCUGCUCCAAUUAUAGCUCCAACAAGGGCAAAAGAUCCGGUGCUAGGAUACAAUCCGAUAGGGGUUGCUGCGCCUCCUUACGAAAACGAAAAUAUCAUCAUGGGCAUUUCGCCAACAUCAAUGCCAUUUGGAAAAUUCGAAAUGAACAAGAAAACUGACGAAAAGAUACCUCCUUGUGUAGCAGGAAAUUGCAACGGUGUAUCCACAGAAAUUUACAAGGAGGCGCACUUUCUCUUUCCUUUAGGAGGAACAGAAAAAACAUUUGGGUACAAAGGUUACGCACUUGCUUUGUUGGUGGAGCUAUUUUGCGGAAUUUUGGCCGGAUCUGCUUACGGUCCAGAUGUUGGUCAGUUGGACCAAAAUCUGAAGAAAGAAGCUAACAUCGGUCAAUGUUUUGUGGCCGUGAAUCCUAGUUUCUUCGCUCCGGAGUUCGACCAAAGGAUUCAAGAUUUGCAAAAGUACAUUAGGAAUAUGGAGCCCGUUGACAAAGACAAGCCCAUAUUAAUUCCGGGGGAUCCCGAGAGAGAACACAUGCAUAAAGUGAACAAAGACGGGGGUGUCGGUUAUCUAAAACAUCAAAUUGAUGCUUGCGGAAAGUUGGCCCAGAAAUUAGGUGUUAGACCUAUUUGUACGAUCACGGGCAGAAAAAUACUAAAGCCCAAAUUAUAAAUCGCAUAUACGUAAAGAAAAGGAAGCUUCGAAUCUGCUUAAUGUGACAAAACCUUUCCUGGUAUAAAAAUUUCAAAUCUUCAAAAAAAAAUAUUCCAAAGUCAUAGCUCAUCCUUUCUUUCAAACCAUGAAUUUAAUAUCGGACCGAAAACCAGAACGAAGCAAUUUACAGUGUGAUAAUCUACAUUUAUUUACCAAGCGGUCGGAGCGGGUCAGAAACAUCAUUCAGAGUUGGAGGAAUCGAUAUAUUUGAACGCAGAUGUUUUUGUGGACUAUUUGGCAGGGGC